rnacentral:rRNA from 2 species
AACUAACAAGGAUUCCCCUAGUAACGGCGAGUGAAGAGGGAAAAGCCCAAAUUUGUAAUCUGGCUCUUUUAAUAGAGUCCGAGUUGUAAUUUUGAGAACUGUUUUCCGUGCUGGACCAUGUACAAGUCUGUUGAAAAACAGCAUCGUUGAGGGUGAAAAUCCCGUAAAUGAUAUGGACUACCAGUGCAAUGUGAUACAGUCUCUAAGAGUCGAGUUGUUUGGGAAUGCAGCUCAAAGUGGGUGGUAAAUUCCAUCUAAGGCUAAAUAUAGGUGAGAGACCGAUAGCAAACAAGUACCGUGAGGGAAAGAUGAAAAGAACUUUGGAAAGAGAGUUAACAGUACGUGAAAUUGUUAAAAGGGAAACAUUUGAAGUUAGACUUGUUAUUAUUGGUUCAACUUUCUUUUGAAGGUGUAUUCCAAUGGUUAACGGACCAACAUCAAUUUUUGAGUGUUAAAAAAGGGUCUUGAGAAUGUAGCAAUUUAGGUUGUGUUAUAGCUCUUGACUUUGAUUUUAAUGCUUAGGAUUGAGGAACGCACAGUGAGCUUUUAAUUAAGUGGAUGCCCUUGGGUGUCUUCUCACUACGGAUGUUGGUGUAAUAGCUUUAAAUGACCCGUC